CCUACGGGUGGCUGCAGUGGGGAAUAUUGCACAAUGGGGGAAACCCUGAUGCAGUGACGCCGCGUGAGUGAUGAAGUUUUUCGGUAUGUAAAGCUCUAUCAGCAGGGAAGAAAAUGACGGUACCUAAUUAAGAAGCCCCGGCUAACUACGUGCCAGCAGCCGCGGUAAUACGGAGGGGGCAAGCGUUAUGCGGAUUUACUGGGUGUAAAGGGAGCGUAGACGGCAGGACAAGUCUGGAGUGAAAUGCCGGGGCUUAACCCCGGAACUGCUUUUGAAACUGUGCAGCUAGAGUGCGGGAGAGGUAAGUGGAAUUCCUGGUGUAGCGGUGAAAUGCGUAGAUAUUAGGAGGAACACCAGUGGCGAAGGCGGCUUACUGGACUAUAACUGACGUUGAGGCUCGAAAGCGUGGGGAGCAAACAGGAUUAGAUACCCCUGUAGUC
rnacentral:rRNA from 1 species